rnacentral:rRNA from 1 species
GUGGGGAAUAUUGGACAAUGGGCGAAAGCCUGAUCCAGCCAUGCCGCGUGUGUGAAGAAGGUCUUCGGAUUGUAAAGCACUUUAAGUUGGGAGGAAGGGCAGUAAGUUAAUACCUUGCUGUUUUGACGUUACCGACAGAAUAAGCACCGGCUAACUUCGUGCCAGCAGCCGCGGUAAUACGAAGGGUGCAAGCGUUAAUCGGAAUUACUGGGCGUAAAGCGCGCGUAGGUGGAUUUGUAAGUUGGAGGUGAAAUCCCCGGGCUCAACCUGGGAACUGCCUCCAAAACUGCAUGACUAGAGUACGGUAGAGGGUAGUGGAAUUUCCUGUGUAGCGGUGAAAUGCGUAGAUAUAGGAAGGAACACCAGUGGCGAAGGCGACUACCUGGACUGAUACUGACACUGAGGUGCGAAAGCGUGGGGAGCAAACAGGAUUAGAUACCCGGGUAGUCC